AUUGAACGCUGGCGGCAGGCCUAACACAUGCAAGUCGAGCGAGCGGCGGACGGGUGAGUAAUGUCUGGGAAACUGCCUGAUGGAGGGGGAUAACUACUGGAAACGGUAGCUAAUACCGCAUACCAUCAGAUGUGCCCAGAUGGGAUUAGCUAGUAGGUGGGGUAAUGGCCCACCUAGGCGACGAUCCCUAGCUGGUCUGAGAGGAUGACCAGGCAAAAUGGAACUGGGGCACGGGCCAGACUUCCAACGGAGGGAGGCGUGGGGAAUAUUGGACAAUUGGGGCAAGCCUGGUUCAGGCAUGGCGCGGGGGUGAAGAAGGGCUUCGGGUUGUAAAGCACUUUAAGCGAGGAGGCGUUCUCGCAGAAAAGCACCGGCUAACUCUGUGCCAGCAGCCGCGGUAAUUC
rnacentral:rRNA from 1 species